UCUCGCGGCCUAUCAGCUUGUUGGUGGGGUAAUGGCCCACCAAGGCAACGACGGGUAGCCGGCCUGAGAGGGUGACCGGCCACACUGGGACUGAGACACGGCCCAGACUCCUACGGGAGGCAGCAGUGGGGAAUAUUGGACAAUGGGCGAAAGCCUGAUCCAGCAACGCCGCGUGAGGGAUGACUGCCUUCGGGUUGUAAACCUCUUUCAGUAGGGACGAAGCGCAAGUGACGGUACCUACAGAAGAAGCACCGGCCAACUACGUGCCAGCAGCCGCGGUAAUACGUAGGGUGCGAGCGUUGUCCGGAAUUAUUGGGCGUAAAGGGCUCGUAGGCGGUUUGUCGCGUCGGGAGUGAAAACUCAGGGCUUAACCCUGAGCCUGCUUCCGAUACGGGCAGACUAGAGGUAUGCAGGGGAGAACGGAAUUCCUGGUGUAGCGGAGAAAUGCGCAGAUAUCAGGAGGAACACCGGUGGCGGAGGCGGUUCUCUGGGCAUUACCUGACGCUGAGGAGCGAAAGUGUGGGGAGCGAACGGGAUUAGAUACCCUGGUAGUCCACACCGUAAACGUUGGGCGCUAGGUGUGGGGCUCAUUCCACGAGUUCCGUGCCGCAGCUAACGCAUUAAGCGCCCCGCCUGGGGAGUACGGAAGCUUGGAAUUCGC
rnacentral:rRNA from 1 species